UCAGUUAUCGUUUAUUUGAUAGUACCUUACUACAUGGGAUAACCGUGGUAAUUCUAGAGCUAAUACAUGCUAAAAACCUCGACUUCGGAAGGGGUGUAUUUAUUAGAUAAAAAACCAAUGCCCUUCGGGGCUCCUUGGUGAUUCAUAAUAACUUAACGAAUCGCAUGGCCUUGCGCCGGCGAUGGUUCAUUCAAAUUUCUGCCCUAUCAACUUUCGAUGGUACUUUAGUGGACUACCAUGGUUUCUACGGGUAACGGGGAAUUGUACGUACUCUAAUUCUUUCAUUUUCCGCUCUACUUGAAACGCAAGCUAACCAAUAUUUUAGAGGGUUCGACUCCGGAGAGGGAGCCUGAGAAACGUAAGCUUGUGAUUCCUCAAGAAAUGCUGUUGAUUUCACACUAACAUCCAUUCGCAGGGCUACCACAUCCAAGGAAGGCAGCAGGCGCGCAAAUUACCCAAUCCCGAUUCGGGGAGGUACGUAAAUUUUUUACAAUCGUGGCGUUCAUUCCAUGCUAACAGGCUCCUAGGUAGUGACAAUAAAUACUGAUAGGGAGCUCUUUUGGGUUUCCUAAUCGGAAUGAGUACAAUUUAAAUCCCUUAACGAGGAACAAUUGGAGGGCAAGUCUGGUGCCAGCAGCCGCGGUAAUUCCAGCUCCAAUAGCGUAUAUUAAAGUUGUUGCAGUUAAAAAGCUCGUAGUUGAAACUUGGGUCUGGCUGUCCGGUCCGCCUCACCGCGUGCACUGGUUCGGCCGGACCUUUCCUUCUGGGGAGCCGCAUGCCCUUUAUUGGGUGUGCCGGGGAACCAGGACUUUUACUUUGAAAAAAUUAGAGUGUUCAAAGCAGGCAUAUGCUCGAAUACAUUAGCAUGGAAUAAUAGAAUAGGACGUGUGGUUCUAUUUUGUUGGUUCUAGGACGC
rnacentral:rRNA from 1 species